CGCUGGCGGCGUGCCUAACACAUGCAAGUCGAACGGGGUUACGAGAGCUUGCUCUUGUAACUUAGUGGCGAACGGGUGAGUAACGCGUGAGAAACCUGCCUCUCAGUGGGGGACAACAGUUGGAAACGACUGCUAAUACCGCAUAAUGUGCCGGGAGGGCAUCCUCCUGGUACCAAAGCUUUAUGUGCUGAAAGAUGGUCUCGCGUCUGAUUAGCUAGAUGGCGGGGUAACGGCCCACCAUGGCGACGAUCAGUAGCCGGUCUGAGAGGAAGGUCCCCCACACUGGAACUGAGACACGGUCCAGACUCCUACGGGAGGCAGCAGUGGGGAAUAUUGGGCAAUGGGCGCAAGCCUGACCCAGCAACGCCGCGUGAGGGAAGAAGGCCUUCGGGUUGUAAACCUCUGUCCUAUGGGAAGAACACAAUGACGGUACCAUAGGAGGAAGCUCCGGCUAACUACGUG
rnacentral:rRNA from 1 species